rnacentral:tRNA from 1 species
GCGGGCGUAACUCAAUGGUAGAGUGCCAGCUUCCCAAGCUGGUUACGUGGGUUCGAUUCCCAUCGCCCGCUCCA